rnacentral:rRNA from 1 species
CUACGGGUUGCUGCAGUGAGGAAUAUUGCACAAUGGGGGGAACCCUGAUGCAGCAACGCCGCGUGGAGGAUGACGCAUUUCGGUGUGUAAACUCCUUUUAUAUGUCAAGAAAAUGACGGUAGCAUAUGAAUAAGCACCUGCUAACUCCGUGCCAGCAGCCGCGGUAAUACAGAGGGUGCAAGCGUUAGUCGGAAUCACUGGGCGUAAAGGACGCGUAGGCGGGUUGGAAAGUCAGGUGUGAAAUCCUACAGCUUAACUGUAGAACUGCACUUGAAACUUCUAAUCUAGAGUAUGGGAGGGGGAGAUGGAAUUAGUGGUGUAGGGGUAAAAUCCGUAGAUAUCACUAGGAAUACCUAAAGCGAAGGCGAUCUCCUGGAACAUUACUGACGCUAAGGCGUGAAAGCGUGGGGAGCAAACAGGAUUAGAUACCCGUGUAGUC